UGUCACCCAUUCAUCGGAGCUUCCAAGCUUUGAAAGCUUCUUCUAUUGAGCCAAGAUUUGCAUUUAGGUCUGCAACCAUGAGCUGCUGUCGCUGUUGUGGAGGUCGUGGCUGCUGCUGCUGCAACAGACACAGGCCAAGAACGGUUUACUACGUAGGAAGGCCUGCAACUGCUGGGUGCUGUUGUAGGCCUCGUGGAUGUUGCUGCGGCCGUGCACGGUGCUGCUGUACUCCAUCUUACCCAUCUUACCCAUAUUAUCGAAUUCCAGUCCAGACCUAUGGCACCCAAGUGAAGAAAUGUUAAAGGAACAUUGAUAGUGUUAGCAAGACCUGCAAGUUAGAGCUACCAGAUUCAGACUGCAGAAGCAGCAAUGACCACUAGAGGGCAGCGAAGAGCAGGUGCUUUCUGCAUCACCCCACUGCCCUCUCGUGAUCAUUUGAAAUAUGGCAACCCAGAUACGACGAUAAGUUGCCCUUUUGAUAGCUAGAGGAAUGUGAGAAUGUUACUUGCUCCUCUUGCAAGACUUGCUAGAUUAUCUCUCACUCAUCUUGCCAAGUUGAUGAACAGAAGCCUCGACACAAAUGUAUUACGCAACGCUCUUUGAUCUUGACUUUAUUCCUGAAAAGAUUAGAAUCGUUUCCUCAUAACUGAAAGGCAAAUGGCACCAUUUUUCUUUUCUUUUUUUCUUAUGAUUAUCGGGUGAUUUUUUCCCACCUGGGGUUUAGAUCUGCCCUCCAAACUGGUUCUAUAGCCAUUUAGCCUUUCCAAAAAGAAUAGUUUUGGGUGAUGGGUUGCAUUUUCUUUGGCAAAGCAAGUCUUAGCUCUGUUGCCAUUUUCCAAUCCUUGUAAUCUUUGUUGUUUCAAUAAAAUUCUGAA